AGUUGAAUAACUCCUUGGUGGAGCCUGACUACAUUUUCACAAUGUCCAGUCCCAAGCAAGAGCUUCAGGAAAAAAGAGGUCAAGAAAAUGACUGUUCCACCAAAUAAAAUGAACCGUGCUGAAUGCUAUGGAUGCUACCGUGAGCAGAAGAAGACUUGGGCGGACCUCAGGAGGCUUAUGUUCUAGCAGGAAAGGCAGACAUAGGCCAAAUCAUCACUCAGACCUGUGAAGUUACAAGCACAAUUUCAAGAGAAAAACACAUAAUGGCAACCUGCAGCAGAAAUGCUUGCUUUUACUGAGCUGGAGGACAACUCCAAUCUCGAGAGCCAGAAGGAAAAGGAUAGAAGCACUUAGAGGUUCCUGACUUCACAGCUCUGUUUGGGCAUACCCUUGAUAAUCAAAUAUGAACCCGGGAAGUGAAUUUCCUUUUACUCCAUCAAAGCAUGAGAUAAGAAGUUAAGGCUUAAGAUUGAAGGUCAGUGAAAAUUAUUGGUGCUCUCUUUUUUAGUUAUCGUAAAAAUGAAAAGAGGAUUUCUCACAUCUAUAUAUAUGUUGUUCUUAUAUCUGGAACACUUUUACAUUUGGGUUGGAUGUGGAGUUAGUUGGAAUCGGGUAGUUUCUAUCAUCCUUUCUUAAUGCUUCAAAAGUGAUUCAUUUGGUGGCUCUUUCUUAUUUCAUUGAACUCCUAAUCAUGCCACAAUACUGUAUUAAAGAAUAUCCAUGGAUUUCUACUUGCCCGAGAGAUACAUUUUCUGAUCUUUACAUGAAAGACUUUCAUAAUCUCACACCAUCUUUUUUUUUUUUUUUUAGCCUUAUGUUUUUAUUGUCCAGAAGCAACAGAUUCUGGACACAUUCUGCUUCUCUGCCUACUGUCCAUUGAUCUGCCCCACUGUGUCUAUACCACCUUCUUCAUAAAACUUUCCAAACAUGGGAGCUUCAGGCAGAGCCAAUCGCUCUCUGCUGCUCCCAGAAUCCUCUGCUCCCAGCAUUGGCUCAUCAUGGAUUCCACCCUUCCCUGUAAGUCAUGUAUGUAACUCUCUUGCUACUUUGGCUGUGAGAACUAUGAGGUCAGAGACUGUGACUCUUCCUUUUUGUACAAACUGGUAUUUGUGUGUGUGUGCAUGUGUGAAUUGAAAAGUUCAUUAUUUUUUUCUUUUUAUUUGUUCUUUUUAGAUGUACAUGACAGUAGAAUGUAUUUUGACAUAUUAUACAUAUAUGGAGUAUAACUUACAUAUGAACAUAGGAAAGUUUUGUCCAAUUCCUUCUACUGUCUUUCUUCUUCCCAUCCCAACUCCCUUCUCUAUCUUCCCCUUUCUCUAAUCCAAUGAGCUUUUAUUCUUUGCUCUCCCACUUAUUGUGUGUUAGCAUCCACAUAUCAAAGAGAGCAUUUGACCUUUGGUUUUUUUGGAACUGGCUUAUUUCACUUAGCAUGAUAGUCCCCAGUUCCAUCCAUUUACCAGCAAAUGCCAUAAUUUCAUUCUUCUUUAUGGCUGAGUAAUAUUUCAUUGUG